rnacentral:rRNA from 1 species
AACGAACGCUGGCGGCAGGCUUAACACAUGCAAGUCGAGCGCCCCGCAAGGGGAGCGGCAGACGGGUGAGUAACGCGUGGGAAUCUACCCAUCUCUACGGAAUAACGCAUGGAAACGUGUGCUAAUACCGUAUGUGCCCUUUGGGGGAAAGAUUUAUCGGUAAAGGAUCGGCCCGCGUUGGACUAGCUAGUUGGUGGGGUAAAGGCCUACCAAGGCGACGAUCCAUAGCUGGUCUGAGAGGAUGAUCAGCCACAUUGGGACUGAGACACGGCCCAAACUCCUACGGGAGGCAGCAGUGGGGAAUAUUGGACAAUGGGCGCAAGCCUGAUCCAGCCAUGCCGCGUGAGUGAUGAAGGCCCUAGGGUUGUAAAGCUCUUUCACCGGUGAAGAUAAUGACGGUAACCGGAGAAGAAGCCCCGGCUAACUUCGUGCCAGCAGCCGCGGUAAGAC